UGUGAACCACCGAGGUGAGCGGACGGGUAGUCUAGGCUCGCGGAGGAUAUUAUUAGAAGUUUAUAUGUUAUGCUCUUGAGGCAACAAUCAAAAGUUUUUUGAGUGAGGAAUCAUUUCCAACAAAAAACGGGAGAAAAUAGAAACCCGCUGAUAAUCUCCACUUCAAAAUAC
rnacentral:lncRNA from 1 species